GAUGAACGCUGGCGGCGUGCCUAAUACAUGCAAGUCGAGCGAACGGACGAGAAGCUUGCUUCUCUGAUGUUAGCGGCGGACGGGUGAGUAACACGUGGAUAACCUACCUAUAAGACUGGGAUAACUUCGGGAAACCGGAGCUAAGACCGGAUAAUGUUUUGAACCGCAUGGUUCAAAAGUGAAAGACGGUCUUGCUGUCACUUAUAGAUGGAUCCGCGCUGCAUUAUCUAGUUGGUAAGGUAACGGCUUACCAAGGCAACGAUGCAUAGCCGACCUGAGAGGGUGAUCGGCCACACUGGAACUGAGACACGGUCCAGACUCCUACGGGAGGCAGCAGUAGGGAAUCUUCCGCAAUGGGCGAAAGCCUGACGGAGCAACGCCGCGUGAGUGAUGAAGGUCUUCGGAUCGUAAAACUCUGUUAUUAGGGAAGAACAUAUGUGUAAGUAACUGUGCACAUCUUGACGGUACCUAAUCAGAAAGCCACGGCUAACUACGUG
rnacentral:rRNA from 1 species